ACUGAACGCUGGCGGCAUGCCUUACACAUGCAAGUCGAACGGCAGCGCGGACUUCGGUCUGGCGGCGAGUGGCGAACGGGUGAGUAAUGUAUCGGAACGUACCAUUGAGUGGGGGAUAACGUAGCGAAAGUUACGCUAAUACCGCAUAUUCUCUCCGGAGGAAAGCAGGGGACCGCAAGGCCUUGCGCUCUUUGAGCGGCCGAUAUCAGAUUAGCUAGUUGGUGGGGUAAAAGCUCACCAAGGCGACGAUCUGUAGCGGGUCUGAGAGGAUGAUCCGCCACACUGGAACUGAGAAACGGUCCAGACUCCUACGGGGGGCAGCAGUGGGGAAUUUUGGACAAUGGGGGCAACCCUGAUCCAGCCAUGCCGCGUGAGUGAAGAAGGCCUUCGGGUUGUAAAGCUCUUUCGGCCGGGAAAAAAUCGCAUGGAUUAAUACUCUGUGUGGAUGAUGGUACCGGAAUAAGAAGCACCGGCUAACUACGUGCCAGCCGCCGCAGUAA
rnacentral:rRNA from 1 species